UACGUAGGGUGCAAGCGUUGUCCGGAAUUAUUGGGCGUAAAGAGCUCGUAGGCGGUUUGUCGCGUUGUUCGUGAAAACUCACAGCUUAACUGUGGGCGUGCGGGCGAUACGGGCAGACUUGAGUACUGCAGGGGAGACUGGAAUUCCUGGUGUAGCGGUGGAAUGCGCAGAUAUCAGGAGGAACACCGGUGGCGAAGGCGACUUCCUGGCCUGUUCUUGACGCUGAGGCGCGAAAGCGUGGGGAGCAAACAGG
rnacentral:rRNA from 1 species